rnacentral:rRNA from 1 species
UACAGAGGGUGCAAGCGUUAAUCGGAAUUACUGGGCGUAAAGCGUGCGUAGACGGUUAUGUAAGUCAGGUGUGAAAUCCCCGGGCUCAACCUGGGAACUGCAUUUGUGACUGCAUGGCUAGAGUACGGUAGAGGGGGAUGGAAUUCCGCGUGUAGCAGUGAAAUGCGUAGAUAUGCGGAGGAACACCGAUGGCGAAGGCAAUCCCCUGGACCUGUACUGACGCUCAUGCACGAAAGCGUGGGGAGCAAACAGG